UCACCGUCUUCCUCACCAUGUUCGGGGAGAAGCUCAAGGGGGCGGACCCCGAGGACGUCAUCAUGGGGGCCUUCAAGGUGCUGGACCCCGACGGGAAGGGACUCCAUCAAGAAGAGCUUCCUGGAGGAGCUGCUGACCACCCAGUGCGACCGAUUCACCCCCGAGGAGAUCAAGAACAUGUGGCCGCCUUCCCCC